GAUGAACGCUGGCGGCGUGCCUAAUACAUGCAAGUCGAGCGAACAGAUGUGGAGCUUGUUCCUCUUACGUUAGCGGCGGACGGGUGAGUAACGCGUGGAUAACCUACCUUUAAGACUGGGAUAACUUCGGGAAACGGGAGCUAAUACCGCAUAAUAUAUUGAACCGCAUGGUUUAAUAUUGAAAGACGCUUUUGCUUUCACUUAUAGAUGUAUCCGCUCCGCAUUAGCUAGUUGUUAAGGUAAGGGCUUCCCAAGGCAACGAUGCGUAGCCGACCUGAGAGGGUGAUCGGCCACACUGGAACUGGGACAGGGUCAAGACUCCUACGGGAGGCAGCAGUAGGGAAUCUUCCGCAAUGGGCGAAAGCCUGACGGAGCAACGCCGCGUGAGUGAUGAAGGUCUUCGGAUCGUAAACCUCUGUUAUUGGGGAAGAAGAAGUGUGUAAGUGACUAUGCACGUCUUGACGGUACCUACUCAGAAAGCCACGGCUAACUACGUG
rnacentral:rRNA from 1 species